GCGGCACCGGCAGCAGCGCCCCGGGCCGCGCUGCCCGGCACCGGCCGCGCCGGGACGAGGAGCAGGAGGAGGAGGAGGAGCUCCCGGAGCCGAGGAGGAGCAGAGCUGGGGCCGGGGGGGCCGCCCGCCAGCCCUGCCCCGCGCCGGGAGCGCCGGCUGCGCACAGGUGGCAUCCCGGGCUGCCGCCGUCCGCGGGGAAUUCCUGCUGCUCUGCGAAUCUGGGCUCUUUGGUUGGAGAAGAGGGAUUGCAAGUGUCCAUUAAAGCAUAAAUCCCACCCCGGCUCUGUUCCCGAUCUACGCAGAGGCUCCAGGAGAGCUAAGCCCGUGCUCUGUUCCCGGGCACCCCUGCAGCGCACGGCAGCCUUUAGCACACUGGUUUAUUAUCACAGCUUUGGAGAAUAUUGCCGAGCUCUACUUCUUAAUGAAAUUUGUUUGACAUCUGGGUGGAAGUUACUCUGUGUGGAUGUAAUCUCCGUUUUAAAGCAGUGAAUUAAAUCUCGGUGCCAGGGUUCGGGAGUCACCAGCAGCUCAAGCUCUGUUACAGACUCUUGAGUGAACGCUCCCAUCCCGUGUGCUGUUGCCCCCCGUGGGUGCAGAGAUCAUGAUGCUUCUGGGCUCUGAUUUCCCUUCCCUGCCGAGGCACUGCUCUUGGAGGGAAUUUCCUGCAGGUGAUGUCCCGCACCUCCGCGCGGGAGGGGGACAGUCACCUCAAAGGGACAGGGGCUGUGGGCAUUGUGCACUACACCCGGAGCACUGCGGGGUCUCAUUUCAAGCAAAGUCCUUUGUUGCUAUGGUAAUACAAAUGAAAAAUCUAUACUAUGGUAAUUUUAGCAAAAACACCUCUUUUUUCCCCUAAACUAAAUCGGACUGUGGUUCAGGAUUGUGUGGGCACACAGAAAUAGUCGUGCUGAUAUCCCUCAGCCGGAGCUGUUGAACAGCAGUUGUGUAGAGGGCUGUCAGCGACUGGGGCUGUCAGCUUGGGCUGCUUUUCCCUGAUACUGCAUAGGAUUUUUAUUUGGCUUUGGAAAGGUUUCUUAGCAGGCGCUCAGCCUUUGUGUGUAGCAGGGAGGUGAUUGGUUUUACUGACCACAGUGACAGCUACGAGAGUUUUGUGCAGUAGUCUGUAAUAAUCUUGCUAAUGAAAGCCUGUAUUUUAAAAGUCUUUGCUGUCAAAGAGGAAGGGCAUAUUAAGUAGGGUCUCCCAGGGAUUAAUGGGAACAGUUUUGGUGAGUGUUUGCUGUAAUAACUUGGGUGACAGAAUGGAGAGCAUUUUUAUAACAUUUGCAGUGAUUCCAGCACGGAGUGCACAGCUGAGAUUUCAAAUGACCCUGAGAUACUGCAGAGCCAGUCUGAACUCAACACAUUGGAGCUCUAGGAGAAAAAAUGAUGUCGUGUGCCACAAAGGAGGAAUAUCACACGUCAAAUGAGCACUGUGAGGCACAACCAGUGCAGAGGAGACUCUGGGGACUGUAGUGCUCGCAGCCUGGGCAGUGCUGCAGAGCAGCCGCGCUGCUCCCAGCGCUCAGAGCAGGAGGAGCGGCUGGGAGACAUCAGAGGGCGUCAUUUGUGUUCCACUCAGCGCUAGGCAGGCUCGGCUGGAGCACUGUCCGGGCUCAGGCAUUGCACUCACCCUUACAGAAAGAUGCAGGCAAACCACAGAGGAGAAGAGCAACCACGACUGUAAGAGGCUUAGAAAUGUGAGCUGUGUGGAAGGGUGGAAUUCAUUCUUUGAGCUGGAAAAGAAAACACAAUGUAAGGGCUCAGCAGCUGUCUUCAAAUGUAUAAACACAUUUGUAAAGGUGACAGUAAACACUUGUCCUGUGACCGCAAAUGAUGGGACAAAAAGCAAUUUACUGAAGAGCAAUUAGGGAGAUUACUUUAGAUAUCAGGAAAAAAAACAAACAAACCAGACAAAACUAUUACCCUGCGAGUAGCUGGAACCUCAGGAGGUUGUAAAUCUGUUCAGCGGAGAUUUAAAGAAAAGAUUGGCUAAAGAGCUCUCAGGACUGGCUGUAACAUUUGUGCCUGGGGCAGGGGAGACUUCCAGCAACCUUCACUUGCCAGCCCGUAUUUCUGUGAGUUCUGGUUGCCCGUCGAGUUACAGUGAUCCUUUUAGGAGGAGGCACAAAAGGACAGCUCAUUACCACCCCAUAUGAUUAAUGCAGAGUUUUUCUACUAUUUAAUAAAUCGUCCCUGGCUGUGCUGUUUGGAUCAGGAUCCCAUUUCCAUCUGGAGACGGACAGGAGUGGAACUCUCCAUUGCAAGUAAGCAGUUUUCAAGUCCAGUUUUGGGCAAUAAUGACUGAAAAUGGUUAUUACUCAUGGUCAGUGUUAAUAUGAAUGUCCAGCAACUUGCUUGAUACCCACUGUAGGACUCACCCUCUCACUUGGACUCUGGCCUGGCAGGUUCAGGUGAGGUCAAGGACUUUGUGGACAUCACUGUGAGGAGUUGGUGUGAGACUGGCCAGUGUUAAAUCUGGUCUGGCAAAUGGAGGUCUUCCCUCUUCAGGCCUGUCUCUCCUCCAUCCUUCACGAGCACAGAAUUCCUGUGGGAACCAGAGGUGAUCCUGCCCCUGAGGGUGACCGGGAGUGCCCCAGCAGUUUUUCUGCAGUGAUCAGCUGUGCAUGGAGGACUGGACGACGAUUCCCAGAGUCAAUUAACUACUUUGUGCUCCUGGAGGAACUAGCAGUGCUGCAGAGAAAAAUUUCAAUCCCACUUUCAUUACUUUUACAGCCUGUGGCUACUUUUCCUUCUGUUCCUUUGAUUGUUGACAUUGAAAUCCUGUUCUAUCAGUUUCCCUGGUUUUUGAAGAUAAUUCCAGAAUCAUUCUGCACUCAGGAGCAGUGCUGCCAGGAAAACAAGGUAUUUCAACCUCACAGCACCUUUUACCUCUCACCUCCCAAACAAAUCAGGAGGAGAGGAUCCUUUGUUCUAAAGUACUGCAUUCCUUUUGGGGCACUCAGGGCAGGGAAAACAUCCCCAGGCUGGAGUGUGUUCAACGCAGGGCCACAAGGAUGGCCAGUGCAUGGAGUACCUGCUCUGCUGAGACAAGGGGCACUGGACUUGUGCAGCCUGGAGAAGAGCUGCCUUUGGGGACUCCUGAUGGCUUCCAGUGUCAACAAAAAGCUUAUCAGAGAGAUAGCAGGCUUUCAAAAGCCCAUUGGAUUGAGCCUGAGCAGCCAAGUCUGCUCUCCCAACUCACCCUGCCCUGUGCAGGAGGCUGGACUAGAGAGCUCCUGAGGGCUGUGCCAGCCUGGACUAUCUGGGAUGGAUUUUUGUUUGCAAUGUUGCUGCCAUCCUCAGCUCCCCCUGAGAUUAAGGAGACUGCAUUCAGCUCUGGCUCCUCAGGGUGAGCAGAUUUCCUGCAAGUGGACCCAGUUCUCCUGUCACUGCACGGUGAUACCUUUUUUUUUGCUGAUUUAUGGCCUAUGCAGGCAUUUUUUUUUUGCUUGCUUCUCUUGUCUUUUCUCAUGAACAGCUCCAUGACUCUUAGUGCAGUGCGUCUAGAGUGCACCUUCCCAUGGAUAAAGCUUCCAAACCUGUCCCUGAGUUUUAUUGCAAACAACCUGCUUAAACCAGCAAUUUAUCAUUUGCUGGAGCUCAGAGCUGCUUGGAUCCAAGGUAUUGUGAUACAGGGUUGCAAUAGCAGGGGACUGCACUCAGCAAGCCACAUUUCCAUGCUCCUCUCAUCUUGCAUUCCUCCUUCCACUGGAAUCAGCCUUCAGCAUGCCUACAAACCCCGAUCCACAGGAGCUCUGCAAGCCCUGCUUUGGGAGCUGUCCCUGCCAGCCACACCGCUGUGCUCUGGCACUGCAGCACUGCUCCUCUCUCCUGCAGUGCCCAGGGAAGGGAGAGCUCUGCCAGCCACGAGGAGUUGACCAAAAGCCUCAGAAUUGCUGUUCCAAGUGUGUCUCAAAGCUCUCAGAGCAGCUCCCCUCGAGCACACGGGGCAGGUACUGGUGUGUUUGGGUUUGGUGCCUUUUUCCAAGGAAUGCUAAAGAUUUCCUCACCUGCCCUGCUUGAGAUUACUGAAUUGAAAGAGCCUUGCAAGGAUCUGAGAAAUGCCUUCCCAAGCAUGUGCUUAAGCAGCAGCAUUGUUCAGCUUUAUGAGUGAGAAUGGAUAAUGCUCCUAAAUACUUCAUUACUGCGUCUGCCUCGGGUCAGAACCUGAACAGAACCUGUGCUCUUAAACACUUCAAGGGCAAGAGGGUCCUAAAUUCCAAACUAAAUUUACUGGUUCCCUGAUGAUAGAUCACUCAAACUGUCAAAUGUCACCAGGCACACAAUUUUCAGUAAUUUAUUUCUGUUCAAAAAUAUAGGUAAGAAGAGACCAACUCCCAUUACAUCACUUUUUCUAGCUCAGUCAAUUUUUAAUACUGGUGAUACAUCUAGUGGAUAGGAAAUAAUUAUCUAAGUCAUAAUACACUAGAUUCAUACAAAGAGGUAUUUUGUGUUGCAGCUUUUAAAAUGAUUUUGACAAUAUAAAGGAAAAAAUGUAUUAGGCAAAAACCAUCAUGCAUGACUCCUGUAACUGCUGUUACUAAAAGCUGGGGGGGAUACAAUAGAAUUGAAACAAUUUAAAUCUCAGUAUUUCUGCAAAUAAGGCAGUAGAUGGGACGUUGGUAGAUGGGGCAGAGAGAUCUGAGUUCCUCUGGACACCGGUGAAAUUCCUGCUCAGCCUGGGCUGAUUUUCCCUCUCUAGUUUGUUGUGCCUGCAAGCAGAACAUUUUCAGGAGCAAAAUGUGCACAUGCUCACUGCUGGAAAGCUUCUCUUUGGAAAGGGAAUCAUCUGGAGAGUAACUGGUGAAAUGGGCCCUGGGAGAGCUCUCAGGCUGGGUGGGAGGUGUGGAUAAUUCAGUGUGGAGCAGAGUCCUCACUGUAAUUACAGCCCCGCAUCCCAGGGAGCGGCGCUGGGGCCACUGGCACAGGAAUUUCCCGUCUCUGUGCCCGGGGUGGAGCUAUGCACAGCAAACACGGAGCUCCCAGCCUCUCCAGGGUUUGUGGCAGGCAGGUGAGCACAGGGAAUUCCUGCUGCCCCUCUGUGCUGCUGUUCCCAUGGAACCGUGCCUGGCAGCCCCGUCUGUGCCAUGCUGGGUGAGGGGUUUGGGGUGGGGAAGGGCAGUCCCAGUGCAGGGAUGGAGAUUUUGACCAUCCACCACCAUUGCCUCCCGGGGCUCACUGCAAUUCCACAUCUUUAUACGAGAGCGUGGAGUGACAGGAGCGGGGAAUGGCUCCACUCUGGCUUAGAUGGAAUAUUGGGAAGGAAUUGUUCCCAGGGAGGGUGGGCAGGCCCUGGCACAGGGUGCCCAGAGAAGCUGUGGCUGCCCCUGGAUCCCUGGGGCUGUUCAAGGACAGGUUGGAUGCCUGGGACAGUGGAAGGGGUCCCUGCCAGGGAGGUGGACUGGGAUGAGGUUUAAGGCCCUUCCCACCCAGGCCGUUCUGUGAUUCCACGAUCUCUAAUGAGAUUUUCCCUUUAACUUGGACCAGACCGAAAGUUCUGUUCUCUGAGAGCAAAGGCAUUUCCCUGAGGAGCCUCCCAGAGUGGUUCUGCACCCCAUGGCCAGAACGAGCUGCAGUGGGAGGCAGAGGGGAGCUCAGCCUGCUCGGACCCUGCCAGACCCCGCGGGCUCUCAGGGGACUCGCGGGCACCAGUGCCCCUUGGCUUUGCUGAGGGGACUUCCUUGGACUUUCCUGCUGAUUUCUUCAAUUCUUUCUUUGUGGAAGAGGUGUGGCUCUGUAAAACUCCCACACCCAUGAACCUGUAACGUAUUCAUCUCAGAUAAAACCUGGGAGUGAAAAUAAUAAAGGAACUCAUUAGUUUUUAGCUGUAUGUAGCUCUGAAAGAAAUGCUUUUGAUCCUGCUUCUAAAACUUCCCUGUGGGUUACUCUAUUUCUUUGGAAAGUAUAUAGCCCCAUAACACUGUUUCCUUUCUAAAAUAAUAAAUAAAUCUUCCAUGUGGCUGAAUGGUGAA